rnacentral:lncRNA from 1 species
AAAAGUUUACCAAACAAAGACAACAAUUUCCUCCAAGAAACCAGAAGAUUCCAUAAAUAAAGAAGAAGAAAAAAAAAAAGUUCACCACCAUUAUCAUUCACCGCCAACAAUACCUCAACACCCUUUUUCUUUCGCUUUCUCUUUCUUAUCUUGAGUAUCACAUUCAACCCCAACAUCAUUCUUGGAAAACAGAAAACACAAUGUUAGAAUCUUUCUCCAAACCCUAGCCCAAAAUUUUCAAGAAACCCCAAUAAAUCAGCAGCAGGAGGGAGAAAAUAAUCUAGGGUUUUGGUCAAAACUCCAAGAUUUUCC